rnacentral:tRNA from 1 species
CUAAGGAUGAUCCUUCAGCGAGCUCACGCUCACUAUCGGAUCGUUUUAGAAACAUCAGUGGCCAACAGAUCGCCAGAUCGUUGAGCUGCAUUGGCGGGAUUUCGCCGUCUUCGUUUCUCUUUCUUUGCGGACGAACACGCGCUGGGCUUGCAUCAUGCAGGAUCCCACGGUCCCUGACGGGAUAUGCGUUAGGGGCUUGUAGCUCAGUUGGUUAGAGCGCGCGCUUGAUAAGCGUGAGGUCGGAAGUUCAAGUCUUCCCAGGCCCACCACUUUCAUCGAGUGAGCAUUCGUCUUCUGGUUACGGGGCCAUAGCUCAGCUGGGAGAGCGCGUGCUUUGCAAGCAUGAGGUCGUCGGUUCGAUCCCGUCUGGCUCCACCAGAUGGUUUGAUCACCGAGAUCUUGCACCGUCGUCCGCGAAACAUCACUUCGCAUCCUGCUAGUCUGGAUAGACAGCAAGAUGCGUGUUUUCUGACAUCGUAAAGAGGAGAUCGAUCCGAGUUGGGUCGUGCAGCAGAUUGUUGCGCGAAUCCUUCAUUAUCUCCGGAUCAUUUUCGGCGCUCGCUUUCAGCCGUGAGGUUGAAUGCGAGUUGUAAAAUGAUCCUUUUAGCGAAGCUUGACCGCCUCGCUAUCGGAACGAUCUUACGAAGCAAGCUGGUCUUUCUAGUCAAUGUCCGGCUGCACGUAGCAUUCAUCGAGGGUGCGCGCCGUAAGGCAAUCGUGCAGACAACAUUCUGCCGAGUGUGUGGACAUUGAUAAUGAGAGC